rnacentral:rRNA from 1 species
GACGAACCGUGCGAACGUUGUUCGGAAUCACUGGGCUUAAAGGGCGCGUAGGCGGGUCGAAAAGUCCGUGGUGAAAUCCCCCCGCUCAACGGGGGAACGGCCGCGGAUACUGUCGGCCUCGAGGGGGGUAGGGGCGAGCGGAACGCUGGGUGGAGCGGUGAAAUGCGUUGAUAUCCAGCGGAACUCCGGUGGCGAAGGCGGCUCGCUGGACCCCGUCUGACGCUGAGGCGCGAAAGCCAGGGGAGCGAACGGG